UACGUAGGUGGCAAGCGUUGUCCGGAUUUACUGGGCGUAAAGAGCGCGCAGGCGGUCGUUUAAGUCGAAUGUGAAAGCCCCCGGCUCAACUGGGGAGGGUCAUUCGAUACUGAUCGACUUGAAGGCAGGAGAGAGAAGUGGAAUUCCCGGUGUAGUGGUGAAAUGCGUAGAGAUCGGGAGGAACACCCGUGGCGAAGGCGGCCAACUGGGCCGGACCUGACGCUGGAGGCGCGAAGGCGUGGGGAGCGAACGGG
rnacentral:rRNA from 1 species